AAUGAAAAGAAUGAGGUUAACAGGGAGUUGAGGAUUUUUCAUUGUAAGGGUGGUUGCCUCUCUCUGCAUCAGCCUAUGAUUGUCCAUUCUUGCAAGAAUCCCAACAACCCUUUUAUUGAUUUUGACAAAGGAAAAUAUAUAGUGAACAUCAUCUGUUUGAAAGGUUUUUUACACCCUUCAACUCUUUUUUUCCUCUCUUUUUUGCUAGUGGUUCUGUUGGAGCAUUCAGUUCUGAGUACAUUCGGUGACUUAAAGAGGCAAUGAUGAUUUUGUCAUAUUUUAUUCCUUUCUGAGCUGAUUAAUUGAGCAUUUGACGUUAUCUGACUCGUAUCUUGGCGGGGCAUGCCACCAGAUUUUCUGAUGAUUUUGCAGCCACGGCGUUGUUGGUCUCUCUUGCUUCCUGAGCUUAAUACAGAUCUGAGCCUCAGUUUUAUUUCAGCUUUGAUUUGUUUUAUAUUUAGGGUGUGUUUGGUAUGAAAGAAAAUAUUUUCUAGAGUUGAGAAACAAACAACAACAACAACGUACGCAGUGUAUUCCCACCUAGUGGAGUCGAAGGAGGGUAAAAUGUACGCAGUCCAUACCACCACCUCCGAAGAAGUGGAGAGGUUGUUUCCGAUAGACCUCCGGUUCAAAAACAAAAAGAUAAUAAAUACAGUCAUAAUAAAACAUGAGACAAGGUGAGAUAAUAGAAAAUACGAAACCCACAAAGCAAUACUAUAAACUACCAAACCGCAAGCCCCUCCCUCUCCCAACCUUCCUAACUAGAGACUUCACCCUAUGUGCAAAGUAUUACGACUACUGGCAAGGUUACCCUAAAACACAACUAUUAGCAGGCUACGACUCGCUCACAUGCACUAACUUUCUACCCUAUUUCGUGCUCUCCAUACCUUCCUAUAUAGGGUCAUGCCCGCAGUAAGCUGUAACUGCUCCAUGUCAUGUCUAAUCACCUCCCGUAGUACUUCUUUGGCCUACUUUUGCCCAGCCUAAAACCAUCCAAAGCUAAUCAGAAGGAAAAGAAUGAGGCCACACUGAGUUGAGGAUUUUCAUUGAAAAGGUGGUUUCCUCUCUCUGCAUUCAGCCAAUGAUUUCUCCAUUAAUCUAAGAACCCCAACAACCCUUUUUCCAAUUUCAAACAAAGGGAGUAUAUUAGUAACAUGUCGUUUGGAUUGUUGUUACAUAUUGUUUCAGAGGGUUUCUAUGACCUUCAACUCAUUUUUUUUUCUGUCUUUCUUAUUAAUGCUUCGCCGGACUUUGAAUGUUGCCGGUGGAGCUGGUGUUGCUGGUGGAGCUGGUGGAAGCAGCGCUGGUGAGUAUUAUUGGUGGCUUUAAAGAGGCAAUGAUGAUUUUUGCCAGUUUUAUUCCCUUCUGAGCUGCUUCAUCGAGCAUUUGAGAUUAUCCGACACGUAUCUUGGCGGGGCAUGUUCUCAGAUUUUCUGUUGGUUUUGCAGCCAUAGCAUGGUUGGACUCUCUUCUUUCUUGAGUUUAAUACAGAUCUGAGCCUCACUUUCUCUAUCAGUUUAGGACUUGAAUAAAGCGACAAGCUCAGAAGGAAAACAAUGAGGCUAACAGGGAGUUGAGGGUUUUUCAUUGAAAGGGUGGUUGCCUCUCUCAGUGUACAGCCAAUGAUUUCUCCAUUAAUUUCAGAACCCCAACAAUCCUCUUAUCUAUCUAUCUAUCUAUAUAUCUUAUACUAUAUAUCUUUGAGAAGUAACUUGAACCUUUUGCACUUCAUUAAAAAUCUUCGCAAUAUACAAAAUCAUCUAAUUUUAAAUAGUCAAAGUUUACACACGGAGGCACGUGCAGUUAAACUAGUAUUAUAUUAAAAGCACGAAGGCCCUAGCAAAAUGCCAUUUGCAUCUUUUAAUCCUUUUAAAAUAGUGUCCACACCGGACAAAAUAGUUAUUUAAUUAUUUUUCUAAUAUUUAGUGAUAGUCAUUUAAUAACUCUCCCACCGAGCAUUCAGUGUUUCUGUUGGGGGUUGUGGAAGCGUGUGGGGGUGAGUAUAAUCAGUGGUUUGAAAGAGGGGAUGAAGAUUUUGUCAAUUUUUAAUGCCCUUCUGAGCUGAUUUAUCGGGCAUUUGAGGUUAUCUGACCUGUAUUUUGGCGGGGCAUGCCACCAGAUUUUCUGGUAGCUUUUGCAGCCACGGCGUUGUUGGACUCUCUUUUUGCCUGAACUAACACAGAUCUGAGCUUCAAUUUACUGCUCUUUUCGUCAAUUUUAUCUGAGGGAGUAUUAUUAACAACUUCAGGCUCAAAAGGAAAAGAAUGAGUCUAACAGGGAGUUGAGGAUUUUUCAUUGAAAGGGUGGUUGCCUCUCUCUGCUUCAACCUAUGAUUUCUCCAUUCUCGCAAGAAUCCCAACAACCCUUUUAUUGAUUCUGAACGAGAGGAAACUGUUAUGAAUUGGACAAAAUAAACAAACCAACAAGCAAAAGAAUAACCCAGACAGAGGCAGAGGAAUUCACUAUAAUGGAGAGAGAGUACAAAGUUAGAGACGCUGGUCUCAAUUUCGUGUGUAUAAGAAUAGCCCAAAACAGCCCACUAAAUCGCACGUAUAUAAUAUGUGCGUACAAAUAGGUCCUAGGCCCAAAAACAUAAAAGGUUCAUACCGCUAGGGCUUCACCCCCGCACCCAUUGGGAUCAGUGGUGGGCCCGAUCCAUAUGCUACCAUCACUGACCCCAUUGAAAAUCACAAACAUGGGGCGCACCGCGAAAUUUUUAGGGCCGAUCAACAAAAUUCGGGUCACAACUCUAACAGAAACAUAUAGUUAACAUCAUUUGUUUGAAAGGUUUUCUACACCCUUCAACUCUUUUUUUCCUUUUUUUUUUUUCUAAUGGUUCUGUUGGAGCAUUCAAUGCUGUGUAUAAUCGGUGGCUUUAAAGAGUCGAUGAUGAUUUUGUCAUAUUUUAUUCCCUUCUGAGCUGACUGAUUAAUUGAGCAUUUGAAGUUUCCGACGCGUAUCUUGGCGGGGCAUGCCACCAGAUUUUCUGGUGGUUUUGCAGCCAUGGCGUUGUUGGACUCUCUUACUGCCCAAGCUUAAUACAGAUCUGAGCCUCAAUUUUUCUCUAUUCAGCUUGGAUUUGUUUUAUAAUUAGGGAGUGUUCGGUAUGAAGGAAAAUAUUUUCUAGAGUUGAGAAACAUAAAGCAAAAAUAUCAGAAGAGUUGAGGAUUUUCAUUGAAAGGGUGGUUGCCUCUCUCUGCAUUCAGCCAAUGAUUUCUCCAUUAAUACUUUCUUGUGGUUUUUGCAGCCAUGGCAUGUUUGGACUCUCUUUUUUGCCUGAGCUUAACACAGAUCUGAGCCUCACUUUCUCUGUCAGUAAAGGGAAUUGAACAAAGCAAAAGUUCAAAAGGGAAAGAAUGAGGCCACUGAGAGUUUAGGGAUUUUUCAUUGAAAGGGUGGUUGCGCCUCUCUGCAUCAGCCAGUGAUUUCUCUAUUACUGUAAGAACCCCAAUAGCCCUUUAUCAAUUUUUAUCGGAUGGAUAAUAUUAACUGCUUACUUGGAUGGUUGCUUACAUAUGAGAAAUAUAAAAGAAGAAUAUUAUUGAAUUGGGUAUCUGCAUUAUUACAAUGAGACCCUAGGACGCUACAUUACAAUCCUUUUCCAAGUAGGUUCUAUGUACUAUUCCUAUUCCCACUCCUAUUCUAACAGUUUCUUUACCCUUCCACACCCUUCCACGCUAUGCUAAUACAAUGCGUUCCUUUUUUCUAAUGCUUCUGCCAGAGCAUUGAGUGCUGCACGGCUGGUGGGGGUGGUGGAAGCUGUGGGUGAGCAUAAUCAGUGGCUUGAAAGAGGCAAUGAUAAUUUUGUCAAAUUUUAAUGCGUUUGAGCUAUUGGGCAUUUGAUGUUAUCUAACCCGUAUCUUGGUGGGGCAUGUCACCAGAUUUUCUGGUGGUUUUUGCAGCCAUGGUAUUGUUGGAUUCUCUUGUUGCCAAGUUCAACACAGAUCUAGCUUCAAUUCUUUAUAUCAAUUGGGGGAAUAUUAUUAUUUAGUGUUCGUUUGGUAUUGGAGACGAGUUAUUUAAGUGCUGCUACAUCUGAUUGAUGGCUUGAAAGAGGGUGAUAAUUUUUGUCUAAUUUUAUGCCCUUCUGAGCUUAUUAAUUGGGCAUUCAAGGUUAUCCAGCCAGUAUCUUGGCAGGGAAUGCUCCUAGAUUUUCUGGUGGUUUUUGCAGCCAUUGCGUGGUUGGACUCUCUUUUUGCUUGUGCUUACAACAGAUCUUAAGCCGCAAUUAUUCUCUAUCCAGCUUGGAUUUUAUUUAUUUAUUUAUGGUGUGUUUAGUAUGAAUAUUAAACGGAGGGAGUAUAUUAUUAACAGCCUGCUUGGAUUGUUGUCAUAUAUUGUUUCAAAGGGUUUUAAUGCCCUUCAACUCUUUUUUCUCUUUCCCCCUUUUAAUGCUUCCGCUGGAGCAUUGAAUGUUGCUCGACGACUCGAAAGAGGUGAUGAUGAUCUUUGUCAAUUUUUAAGCCCUUCUGAGCUGUUAAUUGGGCAUUUGAGGUUAUCUGACCCGUAUCUUGGCGGGGCAUGCACCAGAUUUUCUGGUGGUUUUUGCAGCCAUGGCGUUGUUGGAUUUUCUUGUUGCCCAAGCUCAACACAGAUCUGAGCUUCA